rnacentral:miRNA from 14 species
GUGGAAACACUUCUGCACAAACU